UUGGACAUCAGUAUGGUGUGAAACAAAAAAAUGAACUUGAAACAUUGAAUAAUUUCACCUGGAAUUAAUUUAUGAAUUUGUUUAUCCUUAGCUGAAUAAUGCAUCGUAUGAACAUGAUAACUGCCUGUUAGCAAAGGUUUUGGAAUAGGUUUAUGUGAAAGACCGUUGCUGCUUAAUCCGUUAUUGUUUAACAAGUUACUUUAGAGUAUUAUUAUUUUUUAAACUACAUUAUAUCGCUUACUGUAAUGUAAUAUCCGUCAGAAUGACAUAUUACACAUCACAAGCAUGUUUCAUAAGACUGUACUAAACUAUUUACUCCCAAGUACGCAAUAUUUUUUAACAUCCAAACAAAACACUCUCAAACAUUUGUUUAUUCAAUAAACACAACAAAAAAGCUAGAAGUUGUUUUCCAAAAAUAAUUACACAUACUGCACAUGCCAGCUACCUGGCAACCAGGCAAUUGCAGCUGUUUUCGUUUCAUUUUAGCAAAUAAACACAAUCAAAUGCAUCCAAUCGUAGCAAUUUCCGGUUAUGUACAGUACGACAAACGUUACUCAAAUCAUCAACCAUAAUCGUAGCGACAACAAUAACGCCGGUAGCUAAUGCUAGCAAACAAAAUGCAAAAUGCAUUAACGUAUCAGUGUGAAGCAAUUAUAAAUGGCGCAUUGCAAAAUGUUAAACUUUGCUAUGGUGAUACUAAACAUGGGAUAUGAGUCUAUUUUCUCAAACACUAUAGGCCGAACCUUCCCAUUCGUGCUAGUCCUGCCGCCCACCUUCACACAUUACGGCCGAUCUUUGGUGCUGCUCCUCUAGCGAAAAGGCUUUUUCCAACCCGUCACUAGUGUCCUUUUUCAGUGCUAAUCAAUGUUGCAUAAAAUGAAAUAAUGCCAUCGUUACAAUCCACUGAUUUUCACGCACUCGUGAAUACGCUGUCCUUCCUGGUCGGUUCCAAAAUGUGUGCCGCCAUCGUCCACCGCACAUGCUCUCUCGCCACCGGUCACAUAUAUGUUCGUCCCACUUGGUGACGAAAAUUAUGGAGAAAGUAUAGCUUUCCACUCCAGUGCACUAUUAUCCUGCUGUACCGUUUUUGGUAGCAUUAUCGUUUCCGUGUGUUCUCCUAACCCCGCUCACCACACCACCAAUGCCCAUUCGUACGAUUCUUGCUGGGGUUAGAAUAGUUGUUUAGUACUUCAAAACAUCGCACUUCCCUUGAUAGUGAAGUGGGGAAACAACAAUAAUAACGAAAAAAAAAUACUCAAAAACGAACACAGCUCAUAUUGUUUGACGCUGUUUUCGCCAUGACACCCGCAUCAGUCAGACACGCACACAUCGUUGUCGCACAAUCGACAGUUUACCCGUACGCUAAACUUCCGCAUCUAAUUGUAGGUUAGGUUCAAAGUAGCAGCAUAUUUUUAAAUUAUUUUAUACAACUAUAAGCGAUACAUAUUUCGUUCUGUGAAACUGUUUCUUAUCAUUGUCAACAUAUAUGGCCUUUCUAAUCCUCUUCACCGAUGUGUAUGGAAAAAAUUGUCAUGAUCUAUUAAACAUCUCUCAAUUUACAUUUUUAAAUUGCUUUAUAUAAGAUAAUUAUUUAUAGUGCAUGAGAUAUCUAUGUCGCAUUGUGUUACAUUCACAUUUAAAUGUUUUUUUCCCAAUGAGAAUGCAAAUCACUGAGCAGUAAUUGGCAACAUGCGACACUCCUUGGAGACAAUAAAACUGCCGUACACCAUGUGGUCGUUAUAAUUUGCAACACCUCCACUAAUUGUACAUUAUGUUUUAUAGCUUUUGCCUUACAUCGAACAGCAUAAUGUAUGGUUUACAUAUUGUUAUUUUUUACUCUACACACUUUGCGUAUAGGAACAAUAAAUUUUGUAAAGAAUAUUAUUUGCUAAGGCAUGAAUUAACAUAAAUGAGCAGCAGUGAAUGGGGCUUACAUAAAAAAACCACCACAAACACACACACAAACACACACACAUAUAGAGAUAUAAGUUUGCUUCGACCAGCUCUAGGUGCACUGCAGCAUCUACAAGACCUGCGAAUGGUCUCUUUGUGCACUGUAUGAAAUGUUCACCUUGACACACAUAGACGCCGUUGUCGCAAGAUGUACGUACGGAAAAAGUUCACGAGAUACCCUUGUCUCGGGCCACCACCAUUGACCCGGGUGCAUGAGGGUAAGAUGGUAGGUUGGUUACGGUGCGUGUCUGUUUCGCCACACACUGCACUGUGCACAAUGACGUUGCGCAAAAAAAACGGGCAGAAGCGUUGACUUCCUCCUUGUGCGGGUCAUUACGUUAACUCGCUGGUCCUGCACCCCGGACGGUCGAUCCCGGGUUGCAUGUGCAAGUAUCGAAUGUUUAAGAUGCAUGGGAGUGUCUCGUACAGAGACCACCGAUACCCCAUCUCUUGGAUGCUAUCCAAAUCUAAAGACACUCAUAUGUCAUCUUAAGACAAUACAGUCCAAAAGAAAAUUAUCAUCAGUUCUGUCCUUGAUCGCUCUUUUUCUCUGUAUCUGUCGCCGUGGUGCCGAAUCGACUGAUGGUAUGAUACUCUUCUGACCGAAACCACACACACACACACACACACAGUACACGUCAAAUAUAGUAAUACCAUUUGCUCGGAUAAUUGCCUCACUUAUCCUGUUUCAAUGACUUUCUUCCUGUAUUCAUUUUUCCCCUGAUGGGCUCUUCCAAUAGCUUGGUUGAUAUUUUCGUAACAAGAUAUUUACUUUUAUCUGACCUUAUGAACUGUUAUUUUUAUACUCCAACACCAUCCCAUAGCAAAUGUCAGGCAGUUACAUAUAUUUACUACAGCUAAUCGCUUUACGUGCUACGUAAAAUAUCGCACACAGUUAUUUACAGCUCUACUUGUUCGUGAUAUGUUAACAAAUCCAUUUGCACAAAGUUUCGUCUUACAUACCAAGGUCUGCACGAAACACGUGUAAAAAAAAGAAGAAGAAAAGUUUCGUACCGUAAGAAGGUCAACCUUCGCGCCAACCAGUCACACACUCACCGGUGAAGGUCACUCGCGCUAGUUUUUGGGUCGUUCGACGUCAUAAAUGUUUAUCGUUCACUUUCACCAGGAAUCUGAGCGCGUAAGAAUAAUGUUACAUGCAGCAUUUAAUCCUGUACGGUACGCGACCAAGUUUGGCUGGUAGUUGGCUGAAGGACACUGGCAAUGGAGCACGAGCAAGAAAAGUUUUCUCCAGCACAACAUGAAUUGUCGUUUGUAGGUAAAUGAGCCACUAAUUCUAAUUAACAAACAUGCCGGAUAGGUUUACUGUACGAUUCGUCCAGAACCUUGCAUCAGUCGACCGGAUAACGACGAUUGGUAAUUUUCAUAACGCCAAGGCGAAGACUAGGUCGAUUGGAAAUGUACCAAUUCAUUCAACCAACACACCCGCCUCGUGUAAAUAAACUUCCACAUGGGACCACUCUUUGUGGUGGGCAUGCGUUUAUUUAUAUAUUUUCAUUUUCCAUAUCAUAAACCCCUUGGCCAGCCAUUCAGCGUAUGGCUAGUAUAAACAAUUCAGGUCAAUCGGGUGGAAAAAUCAUCCCAAACCAUGUGAUGAGGUUUUGGGAUUUUCAUUCGAAAUGACCUUACCUAUACCGUUAAUCAGCAUGUUUGACCGAAAUCACUAGAAUAGAUUAAAUAUUGUUUGGAUCAGCUCUGGGCGAUUUGGUGCGCGUGGUUUAGAGAGAGGUCUCGAGUGAUGUGUAGCAGUAGCUUAGGUAUUCCUUGUAAAACAUUUUUUCCAAAAACAAUUAUCUUAAAGUCUGCAUGGGUUCUUAUGCUCCCUGUUAGAGUAUCAUUAUAUAGAUACUAAAGUACGUAGCAAGUACAUAGCAAUUCCCCUGCGUGAGUUACUUCAGAAUGAUGUGUGUCAGGUCUUACUAUUUCGAAAUGACUUAAGCUAGACAUGCUGUUAGUAGUGAAACUAAUUGUGGCAAUUAAUUGGCCGUGUUCAUCAAAUACUCACAAUGUUUAAAUGACCUAAUCAAUUAAGUAUGCAUACUUAAGUACCGAAUGUUUGAUAAGCUUGAUCUACUUCAACGCAACGCGGACAUUAAGUAAGUAAAGUCUUGGACAACUCGAGGUCAAAACACGAUUCCUUCAGGUCAAUUCUGAACGAGAAUCGAGCAGUAUCGCAACCCGAUCAGGGCACGUUUGACAUUGGAAACGGAAACAAUCGAUUAAGGAAACGAAUCCAACCGGCACGACCAUGCUUUGCCUGCGACGCUGAAUGGAAAGUCUCACGAACGCAAGGAGGCUGAAAGCAACGGCGAACUAGGGCAUUUCAUAACCUUUCCCAAACCCAUCCAACCCCUUUAUCACCACCCACUGAGGCACGACCAGCACCCAGUACUCCCGAAAUGGUACGGAACCUGCACGAAAGCUGCAGGUCCAGGAAAAACUGUAAGUGACUUCUGUAUCGUGGCGUCUCGCCAACGGCGUGUCCUUCCGAUUCGAUUCACGCCACGCCAGAAGAAGGUUAUUUCGUUCCGUUGGGAAACUGCGCGCUGCCGGUUGUUGCUGCAAAACCGUUUCUGGUGAAUGCUUCUCUGCAUGGUUCAAUAAGCUUGACCAGAGACCCCAUUCGAGUGGGUUCUCGAUAUUCGCCUGGGAUUGAGUACUAUAAUUACCUCUCUCUCCCUUACUGACAUCCGUUUAGCCCUUCGUAUGUGUUUGUGGUGAGAAAAGAUCAAUAAUGUCCUCGACGACAACUCGGAAUCCGAAAGUAUGGCGAUUAAUCAUUGCAAAACCAAGGUUUUGCACUGAUUUUACGGUAGUUUACAACACAGGUAAGAAGAUGUAAUGCAAUAACAGUGCGUAAUAUCUAAAUUCCUAGGACAAAAAAAGGGUCGCAAAACCUUGUACUGAACUUUAAUUUCCGGAAUUCUUCAAUUUGAACCUAUAAAAAAAAUCAUGCUUAUAGAAUAUUUUUCCAGAGCCUAGCCUAGCCUAGCCGUUCCAAAAUAGCAGAUAUAAAAAACAUAAUUCUUGAAAAUUUUAACUUGUUGUUAGUCUAAAAAACUAGUUAACAUCAAGAUUGAAAAAACUAUCGUAUUGAUUCAUAGAAGACAAGUCACGAUCAUAGAACAAAACGUCAGAACUCCUGAGGUGGUAGUAUAAAAAAUAGGAAAAUUUAAAAAUUGCCUAUAAACUUCGCUUAAAUCAUUAUUUGGAUAGAAAAUAUAAAUAUAGGGUGAGUUACCACAUGAUUUAUAGAAAUAUAUUACCAAGUAAAUCCAUAAAAAAGAUCUUAUUCGAAGUACAAAAGAUAUUUUUUUAACUGAAUUGUGGAAUUGAAUUGAUUGUAGAAUUGUGCAAUGAUGCUAUAAAUACCAAACAAGAACAAGUAAAUUGUAAUUGGGGCUAUUCUAAUAAUAAGCAUAAUAUCUAAAAAAUACGAACCAAUGAACAUAAUAGAAUUUUGAUUUUUUUAAUUUCUUUUGUUAAAUUAAUGAAUAUUGAAAAAAAAAAUCGUCAAAUUUCAGCUAGUGUCUUUCUAAUUUAUUUUCGGUACACAGAUUCGUAAAAAAUGUUCAAUCAAGGCAAAUUAAUAAUGAUAUUGUAGAGUAAGUUGUAUCUCGAAGAAACAUGAAAAAUCACACAUUAGUCGAAACGAUCUAAACAGUUUUUAGAUAAGCGGAUUUGAGCACCUUCAGAGUUUGAUCCAUCAGUAUGUUAUUAUUGAUACUGCAAAUAAAAGUCAAUCUAAGUGAAUAAACUCGAGUUGACGAAACCGAAGAUUUAUCAUAGUAGACGCAGACGUUGUAACAUUGCACUGAAAAUUAUUUUUGGUCAAGAUGCGGGAGAAUUCCAGUUAUUGUUCAUUUUUAAACGAAAUCCUUUCUCGCCAACGCCGGCUACGCAGAAAUAAGCGAUCAUCGCAUUCGGCGUUGAGAACGAUUACUAAAGGAUUGCAAGUUAGUGUUCCAAAAAAAGCAUCGCAACAUUUACCUCAUCGAAAGAAACAGUUUCAGAAAGCGGUUGACAUUUUCAUACACAGUUCUUGCAAAUUCGAUCGGGUGAAUGAACCUCAACGAAACAGAGCACCGACCAACCGAUCGCACAAGCUUACGGGGAGAAUGGCAUCUAAAUUUCUCACUCUGCCUCGCGCGGAUCAACACCAAUAUCUUAACUGUACUGAUAUGAUGGAGACCGCGAAUCAGGUGACGGUAUGUUCGGAUCCGUUUCUAUUAUUUCUGCAGGAUUUUACGAAAGAAUGCAAUGUGAUAAAUGCUCUGGAAAGGGAACAUUUGUACAUGGCCGGAGGAAACCAGGCAGUAAACCAUAUGCAGAACGAACUUAACGACAUUGUUGAUAUCGACGAUCCCGUUCUUGAUGGACUGCCCACUGUUGAUCAAAUCCUAUCCGUAGCCAAGUUAGCAUGGAACGAACUUUCCGAUGAAGCAAGAGAGCCGUACCGCUUUCGAGCAAUCAUGGCAGCACUUUUUCCUAAAUCUAUGGACCAGGCUUUCUGAUAAUUCUCUAUUGAUUUAAUGUUACAACAUAUUAUCUGAAACCUAGCUCAGCUUAUUUACUUCAUAGUGUUCUAGUUGUAUAUCUUACCAGUCAAAUAAUUGUUUUCGUAAAUGGAAAUUGUGAAAGAGAGCAUGAUUUUUUACUAUUGUUGAGCUCAGUAACUCAGGAAGAGUAAUUCUUUCAA